CUCACUUCUCGGCCUUUUGGCUAAGAUCAAGUGCAGUAUCUGCUCUUAGUUUAAUAUCUGAUGUGUCCUCUCUCUGAGGACAUGAUAUGAAAUGUAUUUUUGGAAUAAGGAGAUGGAAUCAGAACUUGCUCCAUCCACUCCACAUAUGGACCCGGUAUUGCAGUACCUCCGGGAACGGUGCACCAAAC
rnacentral:snRNA from 1 species